ensembl:lncRNA
GGAGGGAGUAGCAUGAGGAAGGGAGGGAGUAGCAUGAUGGACAGAAGGAGAGAGAGGGAGGGAGUAGCAUGAGGAAGGGAGGGAGUAGCAUGAGGGAGGGAGUAGCAUGAGGAAGGGAGGGAGUAGCAUGAUGGGCAGAAGGAGAGACAGGGAGGGAGUAGGAUGAGGAAGGGAGGGAGUAGCAUGAUGGGCAGAAGGAGAGACAGGGAGGGAGUAGCAUGAGGAAGGGAGGGAGUAGCAUGAGGAAGGGAGGGAGUAGCAUGAUGGACAGAAGGAGAGACAGGGAGGGAGUAGCAUGAGGAAGGGAGGGAGUAGCAUG